UAGUAGUUGAAUUAAAAUCAACAUAUGAAAACAUAAAUGUUUUUUUCUAGAAAAGAUAGCACCUCCAAACUGGUAAGUCAAUCCUUCUAAUUUCAAAUUCAAAAAGAUGUGGUUUUGCAAAGUUACUUAGUGAGGGAUGUCCAUACUUCUUACUUAUGCGAAAGCUAGGGAGUCUCAGAAAGAACAUUACUGCUAGCAAUAGAAAGAGGUAUUUGGCAAGGUUGAUGCAAAAAUAAGCAAAGCACUGGAUGAACUGUUAGUAGUAGAGCAGACGUCUAUCUUACACAAGCUGAAAAAGAUAAAAGACUGAAUCUGAAAUUGAACUGCCAAGGAAAUUAGUAUUAAAAAUAGAGCUGCCUACAAAAGUAGAUUGUUUCAUCUGCACUUUUUUUUGAAGCUUGUUUGACUCAGAACAUUUGCAAAAGGAAUAUGCAACCAAUAAACAGAUACUACAACAUCUCUAUGCUUGGUCUUUCUCUUGUUCAAUGAAAUACUUGCUUACAAUAUGUAUGAAGGAUAAAUUUGAGAGUGUUGACAUGAUUGAUCAUCAUGAUCAUAUAUUGGGAUAGAUGAAAGAGUUAUGGAACAAAUGGAGAGGACACUUACAUGUCAAAUAUGUGAAGGAUAAGCUAAUCUAUCAGGCUCUUAAGAAUCUUCUAAAGGGAGUAGACAAGAAAGAAUGAGAGUGGUUAGUAAAGGAACAUUUUUCUUCAGAAAAUUUUCAGGCGAGAAGCAUCAAGAAUGCAGCAAACCGAUCUAAGUUGAAAGUGCUUCAUCAUAUUGGUAGCAAACCUAUUCGAGAGAUAAUUUAUUAAAAGGGCGGAAAAAACUGCAAUCCAUCAGAUUUGGCAAUAAUUAUCUUUGAGACUCGUAAGAAAAAUAACAAGCUUGUUGAACCUAAAGCAAUUGAAAAAUAUGUAUGUUCGGAAAAUUAAAUAUGUAAAUUAAUUACAAUGAUAUGGAUUCUGGUAUAAAAUAUUUCUUCGUAUGUUUUGUAAGCUCAGAUUGAAGAAAUAGUUCAAUAGGAUCCAUCUCUACCUAGCAUAGAGAUAGUAGAAAAAUAUUAUGGACCUCAAACUCGUAGCCAUGUAUUGGCUUUGGGGGUGGAGUAACGGCGAAAGACAUGAAAGGUGGCACUUCUUCAAAGGUUGAAUUACUGUCCGCUCUGCGUUCUACUAGAGAGGAAAAUAAAUCUUUGAGUGAGGAAAACAAAUCCUUACAUGAUCACUUGUCUACCAUAGAAGAUGAGAUGAAAGAAAUGAAGAAAAUAAAGGAAUUCUUUGCUGCUCAACAAUCACAUGUCUCGCCUACGACAUCGCUCGUUUCAACUGAAUGAUCACUUUAUUUGUCUACUGAUCAACCUUGUUCAUGUUGCUGGAUAACACCUGAUGAAUUUAGACUGCUUUUGGGGUUUUGAAGAUUGAAGCUACAAGUCAAGAUACAAGUUUAGAAGAAACACAAGCUCAUUAUUAUUUUUCUAGGAAUAUUAUGUAAAACAUGAUAUCAUAGUCUAGCUUAGGAUGUUAGCUAUGUUUUUUUGCUAAGGUGUUGAGCAAAUAUUGAAACUAAAAUCAUGGGAUGUCACCAUUGUAAUUAAUAACUUUUUAUAUAGCAAUUUGAUAUUUAUUGAUAAAAAUUAAUGUUUUGUGA